UUAAGCGACUAAGCGUACACGGUGGAUGCCCUGGCAGUCAGAGGCGAUGAAGGACGUGCUAAUCUGCGAUAAGCGUCGGUGAGGUGAUAUGAACCGUUAUAACCGGCGAUUUCCGAAUGGGGAAACCCAGUGUGUUUCGACACACUAUCAUUAACUGAAUCCAUAGGUUAAUGAGGCGAACCGGGGGAACUGAAACAUCUAAGUACCCCGAGGAAAAGAAAUCAACCGAGAUUCCCCCAGUAGCGGCGAGCGAACGGGGAGGAGCCCAGAGCCUGAAUCAGUGUGUGUGUUAGUGGAAGCGUCUGGAAAGGCGUGCGAUACAGGGUGACAGCCCCGUACACAAAAAUGCACAUAUUGUGAGCUCGAUGAGUAGGGCGGGACACGUGGUAUCCUGUCUGAAUAUGGGGGGACCAUCCUCCAAGGCUAAAUACUCCUGACUGACCGAUAGUGAACCAGUACCGUGAGGGAAAGGCGAAAAGAACCCCGGCGAGGGGAGUGAAAAAGAACCUGAAACCGUGUACGUACAAGCAGUGGGAGCCUCUUAAUGGGGUGACUGCGUACCUUUUGUAUAAUGGGUCAGCGACUUAUAUUCUGUAGCAAGGUUAACCGAAUAGGGGAGCCGAAGGGAAACCGAGUCUUAACUGGGCGUUAAGUUGCAGGGUAUAGACCCGAAACCCGGUGAUCUAGCCAUGGGCAGGUUGAAGGUUGGGUAACACUAACUGGAGGACCGAACCGACUAAUGUUGAAAAAUUAGCGGAUGACUUGUGGCUGGGGGUGAAAGGCCAAUCAAACCGGGAGAUAGCUGGUUCUCCCCGAAAGCUAUUUAGGUAGCGCCUCGUGAAUUCAUCUCCGGGGGUAGAGCACUGUUUCGGCAAGGGGGUCAUCCCGACUUACCAACCCGAUGCAAACUGCGAAUACCGGAGAAUGUUAUCACGGGAGACACACGGCGGGUGCUAACGUCCGUCGUGAAGAGGGAAACAACCCAGACCGCCAGCUAAGGUCCCAAAGUCAUGGUUAAGUGGGAAACGAUGUGGGAAGGCCCAGACAGCCAGGAUGUUGGCUUAGAAGCAGCCAUCAUUUAAAGAAAGCGUAAUAGCUCACUGGUCGAGUCGGCCUGCGCGGAAGAUGUAACGGGGCUAAACCAUGCACCGAAGCUGCGGCAGCGACACUAUGUGUUGUUGGGUAGGGGAGCGUUCUGUAAGCCUGUGAAGGUGGCCUGUGAGGGUUGCUGGAGGUAUCAGAAGUGCGAAUGCUGACAUAAGUAACGAUAAAGCGGGUGAAAAGCCCGCUCGCCGGAAGACCAAGGGUUCCUGUCCAACGUUAAUCGGGGCAGGGUGAGUCGACCCCUAAGGCGAGGCCGAAAGGCGUAGUCGAUGGGAAACAGGUUAAUAUUCCUGUACUUGGUGUUACUGCGAAGGGGGGACGGAGAAGGCUAUGUUGGCCGGGCGACGGUUGUCCCGGUUUAAGCGUGUAGGCUGGUUUUCCAGGCAAAUCCGGAAAACCAAGGCUGAGGCGUGAUGACGAGGCACUACGGUGCUGAAGCGACAAAUGCCCUGCUUCCAGGAAAAGCCUCUAAGCAUCAGGUAACAUCAAAUCGUACCCCAAACCGACACAGGUGGUCAGGUAGAGAAUACCAAGGCGCUUGAGAGAACUCGGGUGAAGGAACUAGGCAAAAUGGUGCCGUAACUUCGGGAGAAGGCACGCUGAUAUGUAGGUGAAGCGACUUGCUCGUGGAGCUGAAAUCAGUCGAAGAUACCAGCUGGCUGCAACUGUUUAUUAAAAACACAGCACUGUGCAAACACGAAAGUGGACGUAUACGGUGUGACGCCUGCCCGGUGCCGGAAGGUUAAUUGAUGGGGUUAGCGGUAACGCGAAGCUCUUGAUCGAAGCCCCGGUAAACGGCGGCCGUAACUAUAACGGUCCUAAGGUAGCGAAAUUCCUUGUCGGGUAAGUUCCGACCUGCACGAAUGGCGUAAUGAUGGCCAGGCUGUCUCCACCCGAGACUCAGUGAAAUUGAACUCGCUGUGAAGAUGCAGUGUACCCGCGGCAAGACGGAAAGACCCCGUGAACCUUUACUAUAGCUUGACACUGAACAUUGAGCCUUGAUGUGUAGGAUAGGUGGGAGGCUUUGAAGUGUGGACGCCAGUCUGCAUGGAGCCGACCUUGAAAUACCACCCUUUAAUGUUUGAUGUUCUAACGUUGACCCGUAAUCCGGGUUGCGGACAGUGUCUGGUGGGUAGUUUGACUGGGGCGGUCUCCUCCUAAAGAGUAACGGAGGAGCACGAAGGUUGGCUAAUCCUGGUCGGACAUCAGGAGGUUAGUGCAAUGGCAUAAGCCAGCUUGACUGCGAGCGUGACGGCGCGAGCAGGUGCGAAAGCAGGUCAUAGUGAUCCGGUGGUUCUGAAUGGAAGGGCCAUCGCUCAACGGAUAAAAGGUACUCCGGGGAUAACAGGCUGAUACCGCCCAAGAGUUCAUAUCGACGGCGGUGUUUGGCACCUCGAUGUCGGCUCAUCACAUCCUGGGGCUGAAGUAGGUCCCAAGGGUAUGGCUGUUCGCCAUUUAAAGUGGUACGCGAGCUGGGUUUAGAACGUCGUGAGACAGUUCGGUCCCUAUCUGCCGUGGGCGCUGGAGAACUGAGGGGGGCUGCUCCUAGUACGAGAGGACCGGAGUGGACGCAUCACUGGUGUUCGGGUUGUCAUGCCAAUGGCACUGCCCGGUAGCUAAAUGCGGAAGAGAUAAGUGCUGAAAGCAUCUAAGCACGAAACUUGCCCCGAGAUGAGUUCUCCCUGACUCCUUGAGGGUCCUGAAGGAACGUUGAAGACGACGACGUUGAUAGGCCGGGUGUGUAAGCGCAGCGAUGCGUUGAGCUAACCGGUACUAAUGAACCGUGAGGCUUAACCUU
rnacentral:rRNA from 1 species